UGGCGGACGGGUGAGUAACACGUGGGUAACCUGCCCUUCAGCGGGGGAUAACAUCCGGAAACGGGUGCUAAUACCGCAUAGUUUCUUUUUCCGCCUGGAAGAAGAAGGAAAGAUGGCCUUUGCGCUAUCACUGAGGGAUGGACCCGCGGCGUAUUAGUUAGUUGGUGGGGUAAUGGCCUACCAAGACGAUGAUACGUAGCCGACCUGAGAGGGUGAUCGGCCACAUUGGGACUGAGACACGGCCCAAACUCCUACGGGAGGCAGCAGUAGGGAAUCUUCCGCAAUGGACGAAAGUCUGACGGAGCAACGCCGCGUGAGUGAAGAAGGUUUUCGGAUCGUAAAACUCUGUUGUCGGAGAAGAACAAGUAGGAGAGCAACUGUUCCUACCUUGACGGUACCCGACCAGAAAGCCACGGCUAACUACGUGCCAGCAGCCGCGGUAAUACGUAGGUGGCAAGCGUUGUCCGGAUUUAUUGGGCGUA
rnacentral:rRNA from 1 species